ACCCAGUACCACCGAUGAUAGCACACACCCAGUACCACCGAUGAUAGCACACACCCAGUACCACUGAUGAUAGCAGUACACCCAGUACCACCGAUGAUAG